GGCGAGGUGCCAGAGUGGCCGAAUGGGGCGGUCUCGAAAACCGCUGUGUGGGCAACUGCACCGAGAGUUCGAAUCUCUCCCUCGCCG
rnacentral:tRNA from 1 species